AGGCCGGGGCAGGCUGGCGGACGCUUCUGCGCACCAGGCGUCUCUGCUGGGAGGGGCUCACUGUCCCACACUCCAGCACAGCCCACCCUGCCCUUCCUGCUCCGGUCUCAGCCCCCACCCCCAGGCCUGCCCCACCCAGCACACAGACCCCCCCUCUUGCCCACCAGCUGCCAGGGUGUCCUCACAGGGCCCCCUCCGGCCCCUUCUCCUCACUCUUCUCCAAGCCUCCCAUGGGGAGGGGGCAAGUAGGUGCUCCAGCCCCUGACACCUGGUCCAUGCGUGCAUCCUUCUGUCCAAGGCAGGACAGGGCUGGGUCAGACUUCCGUUCGAGGCGCCACAGGACUGGCCGAGGACCUGUGACUGAGAAGUGGGAGACCAGAGGCCUGGGAGGUCCUAGGAGCAGGUUUGGGGAAACCUCCAACCUUUCUCAUCAGGCACCUGGGACCCAGGUCCUGGGCUGAGCCCAGCUCCUCCUCAACGAGGACAGUAACACUGCCCAGCAGCCCCAUGGACAAUCUCACUCAUUUUGGCAGCUUGGGCCCCCUGUGUGGCCCUCUGUCCACACUGGGGCCCCCAUAGCAUAACUGAGCAAUGUGGACUGGCAGGCCCUGAGCCCGGUGGCCCCACCCACACUCCCGCUCACUCACACGGCAGACAGAGGUUUGCUAGCGCCCACAGCUGUGUGUGCUGUCUGUCCCAGGGCCCCUUCUCUGUGCUGCCCCUGGGCCUUUGCACAAGCUGGGGCCUAGUCCCACCCGACCUGGGCUAAGGACAGCCCAGCCCUGCCUGCACCAGCUCCUACCCCUCAGUGAGUGGUGGUCCAGGACAGGCAGGGAGAGGGGUAUGUGGCCACACCCAGGCUGUACUCUCUGUGGCCAAGGCUGAGCCGGAGAGAAAGGACCACCUGAGCCAGGCUGGGGCUUCUGCCAAGGGGGCACACAUUACAUCCCCCUUGGACAGAAGCAGCCAUGAUGCCUGCCGCCCCAUGGCCUGUGCCUCACUGCGCAUUCCUCUGACCUGCUGUCAUGUAGGGAAGUGCCCCUCCCGUGGGCAGCACCGCAGAGCUGACCACCUCAGCACGUGGCUUGGGGGUUGCCUGGGCACUGAAUGGCUCCCAGAAUCUCUUUGCUGGCCUUGGGCCUUGCUGCUGGUCACCCCCUGGAGGGCUGUGUCUGACUUUCCCCACCUGCCCCCGCCCUUGACCCAGCCUCUCACUACGUGAAACAAACACAGGGCGGCGGGGCAGGGUGGGGUGGGAGGUACAGCGCUCUGCUCCUUGCCUGGCCGAGCUUCUCACCAGUUUCCUGGGGGAGGGGAGAGGCCUCCACGCCUCCCGCCCUACUUGGACUCAGGCCACACCUUGCAAAGCCUGUUCCUUGUACCAGUUUCUCAUCCACUGACUUUGUUCUGAUUGCUGGUGACAGAAGACUUGAGAAGGUGGUUUAGGCAGAAAAGGGGAUUUGCAGCUCACAGGUAUGAGAAGACCGGGGCAGUGCUCCUUCAGGAACAGCUCCAUCCAGGGAUCAAACCUUCACACGGCUUAUUUUCCUUCCUCUCGGCAUUACUUUCUGCCAUUUGGCUACAUCCUCAGGCCACAUGUGGCACAGCUGUCAGCCUAGGCUCACGUCAUCAGAGCAGGAAAGAGGGACGCGCUUGCCUCUCUCCCAGAAGUUCUGGAAAAGUCACAUUGGCUUUCAUUGACUGUCAUUGGCUGACCAGCUGUUGUGGGUUGACUUGUGCCCACAGAAAAGAUAUGUUGAAAUCCUAACCCCAGUACCCGUGAGUCUGACUUUAUUUGGACUUUUGCAGAUGAUGCGAUCAAGCUAGGGUGAGGUCAGUAGGCUGGGCUGUAAGCCAACAACUGGAGCCCUCCGAGAGCCAUGUGAGCACGCUGUGUAGGGGCAAAUGCCCAGGGAUGACGGUGGCAGAGACUGGAGUGACGCGUCUGCAGGCCGAGGAGCACCAGGGGCUGGCAGCCAAUGCCAGAAGCUGGAAGAGGCAGGAAGGGUUCAGAGAGGGAGGCCCUACCAACACCUCGAUUCAGACAUCUGGCCUCCAGAACUGAGAGCAAACACAUUCCUGUUGUUUUAAGCUGCCCAGUUUGUGGUCCCUUGUUACGGCAGCCCCAGGGGACUGGCACACCGCACCUCCGUGAACCGUCACCCUGCUCAUCCCUGGAGCUGGGGAUGCAGACAGUACCCUGAUGCCCUGGCCGGAAGCAGGGGCAGUUUCCAGAGGAGGGCAGGAGUGGCGCGCACCUACCAGGGAAGGGAGGAAAGGUGCUGGUGGACUGGGGGGCCGACCGUGGGAAGCUGACCUGGGCCUGCUGGGGCUGGGAUCCAGGAGAGCUGGGCAAUCACCUCGAGGGCUGGUCCCCUGGGAAGAGGUGACUGCGUCUCGAGUCGGGGCUGGGGCUCAAGGGCACAAACCUAGGGCCCAAGGCCAGCGCCGUCACACCUGCACACCUGUGUUCGUGGCCGAGGUCCUACCAGUCAGAUGCCUAAAGCUACAGAAUCUAAGAGCUUCCUGUGGCUUCAGAGUGCGAGGCAGCACCAGAGGGAGCCCUGAGUCCACCCCGAGCACGUCUGACGUCCAACAGAUGGGCCGCUGACGCUGCGGCUGCCCAGCCCCUCCUCAGCCACUGGGCGGUGGGGCUCCUUGUCACCCUGGGUGAGGACCUAAGUCUUCAGCAGGCUCUUAGAGGCCGACAGCCCUUCUGCGUCCCUCUCUUUGCCACGCGCCCUGAGCGCCACCCCUCCACUCCCGCGUGGCAUUCGCACACCUGCCAUUCCUCGUGUCUGCAGCGCCUCCCUGCUCACCUCUGUUGGGCUCUCUCCAGCCCUGGACAGGGGGGCGUCCAGAUGGAUCAAGCAGAGUGCCACUCGGUCCCACCACCACGGCGUCCUCGUGGUAGAGGACCAGUGCAGUGCUCUGUGUGCGGCAGUGCCCGGGGUCCCGAGGGUCAGAUGGGGACGGGGCGGGAGGGUAGACCGCCUGCGUGAGACACAGGUGCGCUGUUCUUCGCCUCGAGACAAUGGAAACUGCACGAAGCCUGGAAAAGAAUGCACUCCUGGGUCCCAGAGUCCCCUCCGUAAGAUAACUUCAAACCAAGGAGCCCAGUGCAUGGCAAAGCAGACACCACAACAGUCGCCUUCAUAGCGCAGCAGCCGGCAGCCCGGAGGUGGGGGAGCCACCGCCGGGACACACAGCCAAGGGGAGCUCAGCGCUCCCACCCCGAGGCUGGGCGCUGUUCUGCGGCCAGGUGUGGGUCUCGACGCACACCCACUCUCCACCCCUCCAGCUCGGUCACGUGGGUCUGGGGGCCGGGCUCUCCUCACGGCCCUCCUGGGAGUCGGGUCUUCCACCCUCACUUCAGGCUCUGAAGGGCCAGAGGCCCUGGCUCCAGGGGGAGUCUGCUUGCAGACAGUCGGGGUUCCACCACGCUGACAGCUACCAGACGCCCCUGGUCUUUUGGGCUCCACACAGACCAGCAGGCAAGGAAAGGAGUUACCACUGUGUUGGGAGCAGCUGGGCCUGAGGACCAUCUCAGGGAGGCUGGGCUGAGGAGCGCACCUGCAGCUUAGAGGGCCCUCAGGGUGACCGGUGCUCUGGGCCCGUCCGUGGCAAGCACAGCCCCCACACAAGCAGGCACGGGUGGCAGCCAGGGGCUCAGAGCCUCAGAGGUCUGGUCCCCCGCCCGGCAGGCCCCCAGGCCAGUGGUAAGCAGAUGGGAAUGCGGGACGGAGGGGAAGAUAAGGGUCAGUUAGGGUGCUGCAGUCAAAUGCAGCCUCAGGGCUGUGGCUCGCCUCUAACCCUGCUCUUGUGAGUUCUGGUUUUUUCUCAGAAAUCACACCAGCCACAGUUGUGAGUGGGCAAGGGGUGAACUGAACACGGGAGGCAAGGAGAUGAGCCAAGUUUCCGCCAAACCCCCGGCUCCUCCGCUCGCACGUGGGCACGACGCUCUGUCACUUCUGCCACCGUAUCCCCAGACGUCACCAAGGUGCCAGGCUGAAUCAGUGUGUCCAAUCAGGCGUGGAGACCCUUGGUGGAUGAGGGAGCCCACCAGCUCCAGUCUCCCCUGCCUGGACGUCACCUUCUGCAUGUGGUUUGGGCCUGGACUGUCAGCUUCUCUGCUGGACCCUGGGCCUGGAGGACCUGGUCCCAGCUUCAAUCCUCGUGAUCAGAAGAAGGCUGCCGGGGCUCCAGCUGUCACAUCUACACACCAAAAGUGAAGAAGAGGAAGGCCAAGGGGCAAAAGGCAAUCUCCUUCCAGCUGUGUCUCUCCCAGGGUGUGAAAUGGAAUAACCCUAUGAGGGCCCACAUGGCAGUGUUGAGC